rnacentral:tRNA from 1 species
GCCUUAGCUCAGUUGGUAGAGCGUCUCACUCGUAAUGAGAAGGUCGCGGGUUCGAUUCCCGCAGGC